GUGGAAACAUUUCCGCACAAAC
rnacentral:miRNA from 8 species